GAUAAGAACGUAGCGAAAUGCGAUAAGUAAUGUGAAUUGCAGAAUUCAGUGAAUCAUCGAAUCUUUGAACGCACAUUGCGCCCGCUAGUAUUCUGGCGGGCAUGCCUGUUCGAGCGUCAUUUCAACCAUCAAGCCCUGUUUAGGCUUGCGUUGGGGCCCUGCGGCUGCCGCAGCCCCCUAAAUGCAGUGGCGGGCUCGUUGUCACUCCGAGCGCAGUAGCGUAUCUCGCUCUGGGCGUGGCGGCGGGUGCUAGCCGUGAAACACCCACUAAGGUUGACCUCGGAUCAGGUAGGAAUACCCGCUGAACUUAAGCAUAUCAAUAAGCGGAGGA
rnacentral:misc_RNA from 1 species